CAGUCCGCGGUAAUACGAAGGGGGCUAGCGUUGUUCGGAUUUACUGGGCGUAAAGCGCACGUAGGCGGACUUUUAAGUCAGGGGUGAAAUCCCGGGGCUCAACCCCGGAACUGCCUUUGAUACUGGAAGUCUUGAGUAUGGUAGAGGUGAGUGGAAUUCCGAGUGUAGAGGUGAAAUUCGUAGAUAUUCGGAGGAACACCAGUGGCGAAGGCGGCUCACUGGACCAUUACUGACGCUGAGGUGCGAAAGCGUGGGGAGCAAACAGGAUUAGAUACCCCAGUAGUCCCUGUCUCUUAUACAC
rnacentral:rRNA from 1 species